AGAGUUUGAUUCUGGCUCAGGAUGAACGCUGGCGGCGUGCUUAACACAUGCAAGUCGAACGAAGCAACUUAUCACGAUCCCUUCGGGGUGACGAUUGUUGACUGAGUGGCGGACGGGUGAGUAACGCGUGGGUAACCCACCUUGUACAGGGGGACAACAGUUGGAAACGACUGCUAAUACCGCAUAAGCGCACGGUAUCGCAUGAUACAGUGUGAAAAGUUUUUUCGGUACAAGAUGGACCCGCGUCUGAUUAGCUAGUUGGUGAGGUAACGGCCCACCAAGGCGACGAUCAGUAGCCGACCUGAGAGGGUGACCGGCCACAUUGGGACUGAGACACGGCCCAAACUCCUACGGGAGGCAGCAGUGGGGAAUAUUGCACAAUGGGCGAAAGCCUGAUGCAAGCGACGCCGCGUGAGCGAAGAAGUAUUUCGGUAUGUAAAGCUCUAUCAGCAGGGAAGAUAAUGACGGUACCUGACCAAGAAGCACCGGCUAAAUACGUGCCAGCCGCGGC
rnacentral:rRNA from 1 species